rnacentral:lncRNA from 1 species
GCAAUUUCUUGGGGGACAGCGACUCCUAUGGAUGUCGUGAAAAGUCGACUCCAAGCUGAUGGGGUUUAUUUAAACAAAUAUAAAGGUGUCCUGGACUGUAUCUCCCAGAGUUACCAGAAGGAAGGUCUUAAAGUGUUUUUCAGAGGCAUCACUGUGAACGCGGUGCGGGGCUUCCCAAUGAGUGCGGCCAUGUUCCUUGGGUACGAGCUGUCGCUGCAGGCUAUCCGCGGGGACCACACAGUGACGAGCCCAUGAGCGCCAGGUCUUUGCUCAGGCUGUCCCCUCUGCCUGACAUCCUCUUCUCGCUCCUUUCCUACUUGUCCUUGGCUUCACCAGCUCUUUGCCAUCCAGGCUGUAGAAGUCUCCUCCUCCAGGAUGCCGGCUUGCUUUCUCAGCUAGGGGUCUCAUCCCAUUAACAGGUCAAUGCUAAAAGUGUCUGCAGAACCCAUGAUGUGAAUUUACUGAAGAGAAAGACUCUCCACCAGGUGGGCUUUCAGCCAGGCAGGCUGUCCUCAGAACCUCUUCCUUCCUUCACAAUUACAAGCAUUCUCAUCCCCACCCCGGCUGGGGCAGCGGAGCUUCUGCCUUGGAGGGAUUCAACUGACCAUUGGUCAACUGAUCACCAACUAUUCCAGCUUUGGACCUGCACCUGGUAACAAACAAACGAACAGAACAAAACAAAACUGGAGUAAAAUAGACCCUCCCCCCAUGGCCAUUGUAAACUCACUGUGAAUUCAUGGAAGAGCUGGAGUUGGCUCUAAGUUUCAAAAUAAAAGCAUUAAAAACCUCUUCACAUUGUUU